GAGGGUAUAGCUCAGUGGUAGAGCAUAUACUUAGCAUGUACGAGGUCCUGGGUUCAAUUCCCAGCAUCUCCA
rnacentral:tRNA from 1 species